rnacentral:lncRNA from 1 species
UCUAAUCAAUGAGCUUUAACAAGUUGUAAUUUCUAAUCUAACUGUCUGUUUAAUGUAAAAUUUUGCAUAAAAUUUUCAAUGUAAGUCUUAUAUAUGCAUAAGAAUUUUCAGCCCAAUCCAACUUAUAGAUUGUGAUAAAACCUCCAAAAAUUACUUUGAUAUCACUUGGCUACCAACUUGAAAAGAAAAGCAAAAAUCCUAGCAGUGAUUUCCCUUUCUCCAACUAUUAACUUUGGUUCAAAAUUGGUGUGCAUCUUGAUCUUCAAGUCCUUCAACACGAUGACAAAUUUCACCUUGAUCCAACUAGUAGAUCUCUAGAUAUUAUAGAAAUCCUAUCCAACCCCAAAUUGCCAACUUCCAAAAUCCUCUUGUACUGAAAACCAAAUAUCUCUAAACUACACUGUUAGAUUAUUACAAAAAAAAUUAUACACUUAGCACACCUAAUAAUCCAAACAGUAUCAAAUUUUGAACUAUAGAUGUUAUACCAAUUAUACAAACUAGAAAAAAUUGCUAGCCCUAAUUAUUUUAUAUAAAAUUCAAAUCACCAACACAAAUCCUAAUCUUAAACAAUAAUUGUCAAAACUUCAAAAAUCUUACCAAAACAAUCCUUAU